AUUGAACUGAAGAGUUUGAUCCUGGCUCAGAUUGAACGCUGGCGGUAUGCUUAACACAUGCAAGUCGAACGGAAACGAUGUUAGCUUGCUAACAGGCGUCGAGUGGCGGACGGGUGAGUAACGCGUAGGAAUCUGCCUGAUAGUGGGGGAUAGCCCGGAGAAAUCCGGAUUAAUACCGCAUAAUCUACACGUAGUAAAGGAGGCCUCUAUUUAUAAGCUUUCGCUAUCAGAUGAGCCUGCGUAAGAUUAGCUUGUUGGUGAGGUAAAAGCUCACCAAGGCGACGAUCUUUAGCUGGUCUGAGAGGAUGAUCAGCCACACUGGGACUGAGACACGGCCCAGACUCCUACGGGAGGCAGCAGUGGGGAAUAUUGGACAAUGGGCGCAAGCCUGAUC
rnacentral:rRNA from 1 species